UAGUCCACGCCGUAAACGAUGAGUGCUAGGCGGCGGGAGAGUUUGACCCUUUCGUUGUCGAAGCUAACGCGUUAAGCACUCCGCCUGGGGAGUACGGCCGCAAGGCUAAAACUCAAAGGAAUUGACGGGGCCCGCACAAGCGGUGGAGCAUGUGGUUUAAUUCGACGCAACGCGCAGAACCUUACCUGGGUUAAAUCCCGUAACGAGCGCAACCCUUAUCCCUUGUUGCCAGCACGUAAUGGUGGGAACUCUAGGGAGACUGCCGGUGACAAACCGGAGGAAGGCGGGACGAUGUCAAGUCAUCAUGGCCCUUACGAGUAGGACUACACGCGUGCUACAAUGGUUGGUACAAAGAGAAGCAAAAUCGGUGACGUGGAGCAAAUCUACAAAAAGCCAAAUCGUAUCCGGAUUGAAGUCUGCAACUCGACUUCAUGAAGCUGGAAUCG
rnacentral:rRNA from 1 species